rnacentral:rRNA from 1 species
UGUCCUUAUUUGCCAUCAUUAAGUUGGGCACUCUAGGGAGACUGCCGGUGACAAACCGGAGGAAGGUGGGGACGACGUCAAGUCAUCAUGGCCCUUACGACCAGGGCUACACACGUGCUACAAUGGAGCGUACAAAGGGUUGCGACCUCGCGAGAGUGAGCUAAUCCCAUAAAACGUUUCGUAGUCCGGAUCGCAGUCUGCAACUCGACUGCGUGAAGUCGGAAUCGCUAGUAAUCGUGAAUCAGAAUGUCACGGUGAAUACGUUC